GACGGGACCGCACAAGCGGUGGAUGAUGUGGAUUAAUUCGAUGCAACGCGAAAACCUUACCUACCCUUGACAUGUCCGGAAUCCCGAAGAGAUUUGGGAGUGCUCGAAAGAGAGCCGUAACACAGGUGCUGCAUGGCUGUCGUCAGCUCGUGUCGUGAGAUGUUGGGUUAAGUCCCGCAACGAGCGCAACCCUUGUCAUUAGUUGCUACAUUUAGUUGGGCACUCUAAUGAGACUGCCGGUGACAAACCGGAGGAAGGUGGGGAUGACGUCAAGUCCUCAUGGCCCUUAUAGGUAGGGCUACACACGUCAUACAAUGGAUGGUACAAAGGGUCGCCAACCCGCGAGGGGGAGCCAAUCCCACAAAGCCGGUCGUAGUCCGGAUCGCAGUCUGCAACUCGACUGCGUGAAGUCGGAAUCGCUAGUAAUCGCGGAUCAGCAUGUCGCGGUGAAUACGUUCCCGGGUCUU
rnacentral:rRNA from 1 species